rnacentral:rRNA from 1 species
ACUCAAAUGAAUUGACGGGGGCCCGCACAAGCGGUGGAGCAUGUGGUUUAAUUCGACGCAACGCGAAGAACCUUACCUGGGCUUGAACUACUCGUGGUAGGUCGCUGGAAACAGUGACUGACCCGCAAGGGAGCGAGCAGAGGUGCUGCAUGGUUGUCGUCAGCUCGUGUCGUGAGAUGUUGGGUUAAGUCCCGCAACGAGCGCAACCCCUAUCCAAUGUUGCUAAUCCCGCAAGGGAUGCACUCUUUGGAAACUGCCUUCGAUAAGAAGGAGGAAGGUGGGGACGACGUCAAAUCCUCAUGGCCCUUAUGUCCAGGGCUACACACGUGCUACAAUGGUCGGUACAGCGGGAAGCAAUACCGCAAGGUGGAGCAAAUCCCUAAAAGCCGGCCCCAGUUCAGAUUGUGGGCUGAAACCCGCCCACAUGAAGGCGGAAUCGCUAGUAAUCGCGAAUCAGCAGGUCGCGGUGAAUACGUUCCCGGGCCUUGUACACACCGCCCGU